AAUAACUCAUUUGUGCUUUCUCUUGUUGCUCCUCUCCCUGCAGGGCAUCUUUAAGCAGUUCCAGUGCAGUAGUGACUGGGAUGUUCCGAAGCUCAAUAACUCAUUUGUGCUUCCUCUUGUUGCUCCUCUCCCUGCAGGGCAUCUUUAAGCAGUUCCAGUGCAGUAGUGACUGGGAUGUUCAGAAGCUCAAUAACUCAUUUGUGCUUUCCCUCUUGUUGCUCCUCUCCCUGCAGGGCAUCUUUAAGCAGUUCCAGUGCAGUAGUGACUGGGAUGUUCAGAAGCUCGAUAACUCAUUUGUGCUUUCCCUUGUUGCUCCUCUCCCUGCAGGGCAUCUUUAAGCAGUUCCAGUGCAGUAGUGACUGGGAUGUUCAGAAGCUCGAUAACUCAUUUGUGCUUUCCCUCUUGUUGCUCCUCCCCCUGCAGGGCAUCUUUAACCAGUUCCAGUGCAGUAGUGACUGGGAUGUUCAGAAGCUCGAUAACUCAUUUGUGCUUUCCCUUGUUGCUCCUCUCCCCUGCAGGGCAUCUUUAACCAGUUCCAGUGCAGUAGUGACUGGGAUGUUCAGAAGCUCGAUAACUCAUUUGUGCUUUCCCUUGUUGCUCCUCCCCCUGCAGGGCAUCUUUAAGCAGUUCCAGUGCAGUAGUGACUGGGAUGUUCAGAAGCUCGAUAACUCAUUUGUGCUUUCCCUUGUUGCUCCUCUCCCCUGCAGGGCAUCUUUAACCAGUUCCAGUGCAGUAGUGACUGGGAUGUUCAGAAGCUCGAUAACUCAUUUGUGCUUUCCCUUGUUGCUCCUCCCCCUGCAGGGCAUCUUUAAGCAGUUCCAGUGCAGUAGUGACUGGGAUGUUCAGAAGCUCGAUAACUCAUUUGUGCUUUCCCUCUUGUUGCUCCUCUCCCUGCAGGGCAUCUUUAAGCAGUUCCAGUGCAGUAGUGACUGGGAUGUUCAGAAGCUCAAUAACUCAUUUGUGCUUUCCCUCUUGUUGCUCCUCUCCCUGCAGGGCAUCUUUAAGCAGUUCCAGUGCAGUAGUGACUGGGAUGUUCAGAAGCUCGAUAACUCAUUUGUGCUUUCCCUUGUUGCUCCUCCCCCUGCAGGGCAUCUUUAAGCAGUUCCAGUGCAGUAGUGACUGGGAUGUUCAGAAGCUCGAUAACUCAUUUGUGCUUUCCCUCUUGUUGCUCCUCUCCCCUGCAGGGCAUCUUUAAGCA
rnacentral:lncRNA from 1 species